AAGGAAUAUUGCUCAAUGGGAGAAAUCCUGAAGCAGCAACGCCGCGUGGAGGAUGAAGGGUCUAUGACUUGUAAACUCCUGUAAAGAAGGAAAAAAUUCCCAUUAGAUGGGAGAUGAUGGUACUUCUGGAGAAAGCCCCGGCUAACUACGUGCCAGCAGCCGCGGUAAUACGUAGGGGGCAAGCGUUGUCCGGAUUUACUGGGUGUAAAGGGCGCGCAGGCGGAAUGGAAAGUCAGUGGUGAAAUCCUACAGCUUAACUGUAGAACUGCCUUUGAUACUUUCAUUCUUGAGUUCGGGAGAGAGAGACGGAAUUCCAGGUGUAGUGGUGAAAUACGUAGAUAUCUGGAAGAACACCAGUUGCGAAGGCGGUCUCUUGGUCCGAUACUGACGCUGAGGCGCGAAAGCGUGGGGAGCAAACA
rnacentral:rRNA from 1 species